AAGUCGUAACAAGGUUUCCGUAGGUGAACCUGCGGAAGGAUCAUUACCGAAUUUCAGGCUGAAAGAUGUCUAAAUUCCACACCAUGUUUUAAGCUGAAGACGCAAGUCGGAUGCGAACACAUUUUAUUCCUUGAAUAAAUCAAAACUUUCAACAACGGAUCUCUUGGUUCUG
rnacentral:misc_RNA from 1 species